UAGAGUUUGAUCCUGGCUCAGAACGAACGCUGGCGGCGUGCUUAAUACAUGCAAGUCGAACGUGAAGUGUAGCAAUACAUGGAAAGUGGCGAACGGGUGAGUAACACGUAAGCAAUCUGCCUCUAAGAUUGGGAUAACCCUGCCAACGCGGGGCUAAUACCGGAUGUGGUCCAGGUGACGCAUGUUGUCUGGAUUAAAGGAGUGAUCCGCUUAGAGAUGAGCUUGCGUCCCAUUAGCUAGUUGGUGCGGGUAACGGCCCACCAAGGCUGCGAAGGGUAGCCGGCCUGAGAGGGUGAUCGGCCACAUUGGGACUGAGAUACGGCCCAGACUCCUACGGGAGGCAGCAGUAGGGAAUUUUGCGCAAUGGGCGAAAGCCUGACGCAGCAACGCCGCGUGAGGGAUGACGGCCUUCGGGUUGUAAACCUCUGUUGAGUGGGAAAAAAGGGUAGCAAUACUUUGAUGGUACCAUUCGAGUAAGCACCGGCUAACUACGUGCCAGCAGCCGCGGUAAUACGUAGGGUGCAAGCGUUGUUCGGAAUCACUGGGCGUAAAGGGAGCGUAGGCGGGAUCGUAAGUUAGGAGUUUAAUGCAUGGGCCUAACCCAUGACUUGCUUUUAAUACUGCGGUUCUUGAGUAUGGGAGAGGGCGAUGGAAUUCCAGGUGUAGCGGUGGAAUGCGUAGAUAUCUGGAAGAACACCAGUAGCGAAGGCGGUCGCCUGGCCUAAUACUGACGCUGAGGCUCGAAAGCUAGGGGAGCAAACAGGAUAAGAUACCCUGGUAGUCCUAGCCGUAAACGAUGG
rnacentral:rRNA from 1 species